UGUCCAUGGAAUUGGAUGCAGAAAAUUGGAUUAGAUAAGUAUAUCUAUGUGUUUAGUUUUGUUUUGUCUGAUUUUAGUUUUUGUCUUUUCUUUUGCAGGUCCAGAUUGUCCAGGAUUUUAAAUUUGUCCAGUGGGAUUUGGAAAGGAAAGCGAUGCCAUGGAUUUAUAAGAAGCAUCGUUGGGGAGGUUCAUGUAUGUCGGUAGGGAUAUUUUCAUUAUACCACUACUAUUAUAAAGAGGUCGAAUUUGAGGGUCACCAUUUUGGCCUUUUGCCGGGCCGGCAGCACCACACCCAGAAUUCAGAAGGGCGAGGGGGCAUUCCGACAUGGAAACGGCAUCAAAACAUUAUACGUUUUUAAUGUUUUAGGUGCCAAAGACAUCGUAUUCUGUUGCGUCUAGUAGGGAUAUUGUAGUUGCUACCGGGAAAAAAGUUGAAUUCAGGGGUCACGAUUUUGACCUUUUGCCGGGUCGGCAGCGCCGCACCAAGGGUCAAUAAAAUCGAGGGUGCUUCUUGACAUGGGGACGGCAUCGAAACUUUGUGCAUUUUUAUAUAUAUUAUUAUAUAUUACACUGUUAUGUGUUUUGAUUAAAUUAUUACAAUCUUUAACGGAGAUUUCGUCAAUAUUGCAUUUCUGAGGGAAAAAAGUCAGUUUUAGAGGUUUCUAUUUCGACCUUUUGCCGGGUCGGCGGCACCACUCCUAGGGUCUGUAAAAACGUGGGGGAAUCCCAAAUAAGGAGACUGCGUCAAAACAUUGCCUGUUUUUUGUGUUCUAAGUGUCAAAAAGUUGGUUUGUCCAUUACGCCAAGUCGGGUCGUCUUUUGUCAUCGAGUACAGCUUUCGGGGAGAUUGCCGCUGAUUGUUUCAGGACCUUACAAAGGAUCUACAGCAAAAGGAUCUGCAGCAAAAGGUUCAGAUAAGUGAC